rnacentral:rRNA from 1 species
UACGUAGGUGGCAAGCGUUGUCCGGAUUUAUUGGGCGUAAAGCGCGCGCAGGUGGUUUCUUAAGUCUGAUGUGAAAGCCCCCGGCUCAACCGGGGAGGGUCAUUGGAAACUGGGAGACUUGAGUGCAGAAGAGGAUAGUGGAAUUCCAAGUGUAGCGGUGAAAUGCGUAGAGAUUUGGAGGAACACCAGUGGCGAAGGCGGCUCUCUGGACUGUAACUGACACUGAGGCGCGAAAGCGUGGGGGAGCAAACAGG